CCCGUUGGUCAAGCGGUUAAGACACCGCCCUUUCACGGCGGUAACACGGGUUCGAAUCCCGUACGGGUCACCA
rnacentral:tRNA from 1 species